rnacentral:rRNA from 1 species
CACGUGGAUAACCUGCCCUCGGCACCGGAAUAGCCCGGGGAAACCCGGAUUAAUGCCGGAUAGCCCCACAUCCCUGCGGGGAACGUGGGAAAAGGUAGCUUCGGCCUCUGGCCGAGGAUGGGUCCGCGGUGGAUUAGCUUGUUGGCGGGGUAACGGCCCACCAAGGCGACGAUCCAUAGCUGGUCUGAGAGGACGAUCAGCCACACUGGGACUGAGACACGGCCCAGACUCCUACGGGAGGCAGCAGUGGGGAAUCUUGCGCAAUGGGCGAAAGCCUGACGCAGCGACGCCGCGUGCGGG